rnacentral:rRNA from 1 species
CGUGCCUACGGGACGCAGCAGUGAGGAAUAUUGGUCAAUGGGCGGUAGCCUGAACCGGCCAAGUAGCGUGAAGGAUGAAGGUUCUAUGGAUUGUAAACUUCUUUUAUAAAGGAAUAAAGUGAGGCACGUGUGCCUUUUUGUAUGUACUUUAUGAAUAAGGAUCGGCUAACUCCGUGCCAGCAGCCGCGGUAAUACGGAGGAUCCGAGCGUUAUCCGGAUUUAUUGGGUUUAAAGGGAGCGAAGAUGGGUUGUUAAGUCAGUUGUGAAAGUUUGGGGCUCAAUCGUAAAAUUGCAAUUGAUACUGG